UGCCCCCUGGCUUAGUUGGUUAAAGCGUCCGACUGUUAUAACAUGGAGAUUGUAAACAUUACGUUUCAUCGGGAGAUCGAGAGUUCGACCCUCUCGGGGGCAG